ACGAACAAUAAAAACUGAAAUAAGAUUCCAAGCACAGCAACUGCCACCAUUCCAAGCUCAACUGCAACUCAAACAACAACUGCAUUUCAAGUAACAUCAGGAGAUCUUUUAAAAACAACUGUCGCUUUUACCAGUACAUCUUCUGCUCCAGCCACACUUGCACUUUCAACCAAAACAACUUCAAGCCCAAACUUGGAUUCAGAAACCACAACUGCAUCAACAACUACCACUGGAAUUAUUACAGGUUUCACUUACACAGCAGAAUUUCCAGAAUUUCCAAUAGCAUCAGGUCCAAACAACAAUACGUCAACAUCACCAGCAUCUACAAUUUCAGGUCACACAUCCAUAAAACCAAUAGCAGCUGAAACUCUUACUAGCAAUACUACACCUCUGAACAAUACAACAAAAGCAGAUGCAACACUUCAAAGUACUUCAAGUUUGCAACCAGAAACUUCAAACAUACCCAAAACAUUGCCAACAAAUGUGUCCGGUGCAGCAACAGUCACAACCAAAUUUAUAUUCUCUUCUUUGUCAUCCCUGCCCACUGAAACUUUGGUCCUAGGUGCUAUUAGUUAUCUUCAUGAAUCUAGAAAGUCCCAACUCAAUGAAUCACUGAAGAUUGACAGUUUUACCUAUGAGAAAAUCUCUGAAACUUCCUAUGCUGUCAUCUUUAAUAUUAGUUUGAAUAAUAUCAGCAUGCCUGAGGAUCCUGAGCUAAGAAACAGCAGUUAUGUGCAAGUGCAAGAUGUUGUCAAUAAUGCACUGAACACUCUUCUGAAUGAACCUGGCAAGCAAGUUUUCAAACCAAAGUCCUCCAACUUCACGAGCACUUCAAAUCAGAUUCAUGGCAGGAUGGACUACACCUUCCAGGAUGGAGAUUCCUCAGACAAACAAUAA
rnacentral:lncRNA from 1 species